rnacentral:rRNA from 1 species
UACGUAGGGUGCAAGCGUUGUCCGGAAUUAUUGGGCGUAAAGAGCUCGUAGGCGGUCUGUUGCGUCGGCCGUGAAAACCUGCAGCUUAACUGUGGGCGUGCGGUCGAUACGGGCAUCACUGGAGUUCGGCAGGGGAGACUGGAAUUCCUGGUGUAGCGGUGAAAUGCGCAGAUAUCAGGAGGAACACCGGUGGCGAAGGCGGGUCUCUGGGCCGAUACUGACGCUGAGGAGCGAAAGCAUGGGGAGCGAACAGG